rnacentral:ncRNA from 1 species
GAAAUGGCGAUGAGUAAGAGGAGUAUUUCUGUUCUUUUUUAAAGAGAGUUUUCGUUUGGUGCAAGAAAACAAAAAGGCGGAAAGAAGGUAGCUUAUGAGCCGUUCUCUGAGCUGAGUAAGAGAAUCCGUGUUCCGCGUUAAGGAUCAAAGGCAUUUGUUUUCGAAUGCGAAUUAAGGUGGUACCACGGCUAGCACGUCCUUAGG